CCUACGGGAGGCUGCAGUGGGGAAUAUUGGACAAUGGGCGAAAGCCUGAUCCAGCCAUGCCGCGUGUGUGAAGAAGGCCUUCGGGUUGUAAAGCACUUUCAGUGGGGAAGAAAGCCUUGGGGCUAAUACCCUCGAGGAAGGACAUCACCCACAGAAGAAGCACCAGCUAACUCCGUGCCAGCAGCCGCGGUAAUACGGAGGGUGCGAGCGUUAAUCGGAAUUACUGGGCGUAAAGCGCGCGUAGGCGGUCUGAUAAGCCGGUUGUGAAAGCCCCGGGCUCAACCUGGGAACGGCAUCCGGAACUGUCAGGCUAGAGUGCAGGAGAGGAAGGUAGAAUUCCCGGUGUAGCGGUGAAAUGCGUAGAGAUCGGGAGGAAUACCAGUGGCGAAGGCGGCCUUCUGGACUGACACUGACGCUGAGGUGCGAAAGCGUGGGUAGCAAACAGGAUUAGAUACCCGUGUAGUC
rnacentral:rRNA from 1 species